AGGUGGACACGACUGAGUGAACUGAACUGAGGAGCCCAGUGUGAAAACCAUUUCACAGAUGAGGAACUUCAAAUCUAGGGAUGACCAAGGCUGCAAGCCCGCUUAGUUAUGAAACCAGCGCCUAAACCUGAGGUUCUAUAAUCCUAAUGCUUUCCAUGGAAGAGUCAUCUUUACACAGCAUUUCUAAAGGCUAUUGUGGACAAAACUUUGAACUAGUUGGCUAGGAGAACGACAAACCCGAAACAAGACCCAGUUCCACCCAUUCAGGAGUUCACAGUUGAGGCUAGUGAAGAACUUAGAUUUUUCAAAAAGUAACACACGCACAUAAAAUUAUGGCUAACAAGUUUCCAAAGUGAUUCCUGAGACCUAGAACUACGUCUGGACCUUGGCCAGUUCCAGGCCACGGGAAAGGUGAGGGUCUAUUCAGGUAAAGAGGCCCUGACACCGAGGAGAGAAGGGGCAGAGGGAGGUAGAGGGACCCUGGUGGGCUAGCGGGCUCAGCAACGAGACCCGGCGCAGAACGAGAAGGAAUCCUCCGCGGUUUCAGAGACUGGGUCCACUCCUGUUUCGGCCCCGGACGCAGGGAAAGCCUAGCAGUCAGCCGGACGGACAGGGCGGGACUUGGGGCGGAAGUCCCUCCGCCCGCUCAGGUCACGUGGGAGAGGCCGCGCUCGCGCCCAGGAAAUGGCACUUUGGCGGGCCUACCAGCGGGCUCUGACUGCUCACCCGUGGAAAGUACAGGUCCUGACAGCUGGGUCUCUGAUGGGCCUGGGUGACGUGAUCUCACAGCAGCUGGUGGAGAGGCGAGGUCUGCGGGCACACCAGGCUGGCCGGACCCUGACCAUGGCCUCCUUGGGCUGUGGCUUUGUGGGCCCUGUGGUAGGAGGCUGGUACAGAGUUUUGGACCGGCUCAUUCCUGGCACCACCAAGGUGGAUGCACUAAAGAAGAUGCUGCUGGAUCAGGGGGGCUUUGCCCCAUGUUUUCUGGGCUGUUUCCUCCCACUGGUUGGGACCCUCAAUGGACUGUCAGCCCAGGACAACUGGGCCAAACUCCAGCGGGAUUUUCCUGAUGCUCUCAUCACCAACUACUAUGUAAGAGCUGGCACCUCAGCUGCCUCUUCUGCUUUCUUGAGUCCAGAAAUGCCCAGGGAUUGGGGGAUCCUCCUGAUACAGAAAUUCCUCCAUCAGGAUUACUCCCUCAUGCCCAUAUGGGCACUGUAAUCAGGGAAGCACUCACCCAGUGCCACGUGUUUCUGCCUGGAGAAGCUGGAGUCAGACCAGGUAUGCCAGAUCCCCACCCCACCCUUCAAGGAAGAUGCAUAUUAUGAACAGUUGGAGACAAAGUGAUCCUCACUUUUAACCUUGAACUACCUUAGAACACGCCACCCUGCGCCCCCACCCAGAACACCCUGCCCUGGUCAGAGCUCCUCAGACUCCUGAGCACUUUGUUCAGAAUCUCUUAUGUUAUAGAACAUCCCAGAGCGUCUGCCUGCUGACCUCUCAUCUUCCUAGGGAGGAUCUUGCUCCACAGCCCUCGUCUCCAUCCCACCUGGGCUCUUUACCUUUGAUGGCCUGACUGUAGGGACAGUACUACAGCCUAGGUUAGGCAGAAAUGUAGAUCAGAGUCAAGUAGGAAUAUGGUCAGGUUAGUUCCACUGAAAAAUAUUAUUUUACCCUACAUAAGCAGGAUAGUGGCUGAAAACUCAAUAAAAAUAAAUAUAGUGGAAACAAGAUGAGUGGUUAAAAUUAUUGGAGGUGAGGGGGCUUUGGGAACGGGAAAUCAUGAAACUCUUCAGAGGAGACAAGGUCAGAAUGGACAUGAAUAGCAUAACUAAAAGGAAUACAGACUUGUGAACCAAAUCAAACUUUAGAGUCCUGGAAAUGCUCUUUGAAACUAGAGUGAAAUAUAUUUAAAAUAGAAGGAGGUACUACUUUAAAUGGCAGGCAGCACAUUUUUGGAAGAUGAGAUCUCAGCUGUACAAGACAGAUGUGUGUUUAGAAGGAGCUUGGAUGGAGUAUGGAUAAAGAGCCAUGCAUGGCAAAAUGGCUGCUGGGGGCAGUUAACUUUGAGGCUCUUGUCCAGGAGACGGAGCUCUGGGCCAGCACCAGCACCUGAGCUGGUUGUCCUCUCAUCUGAGCCACACAUCCAUCCAUGGGGGCUGAAGGAAGGAGACCUAGAUCUGGACAUUCUUGGAGAUAUUCGCUCUUUGUCUGCUAUACUUUCCCUCCUCUCCCCCUGGCUUCCUCCUUAUACUUCCUCUUCUUCAUGGUGCCGUCCCUGU